rnacentral:rRNA from 1 species
AAUCAACGCUGGCGGCGUGCCUAACACAUGCAAGUCGAACGCGAAAGGGGCUUCGGCCCUGAGUAGAGUGGCAAACGGGUGAGUAACACGUGGGUGACCUACCUUCAAGUGGGGGAUAACGUUCCGAAAGGAACGCUAAUACCGCAUAUUGUCCCGUCUUUAGACAGACGACGAUGAAGGCCGGGGAUCGCAAGACCUGG